rnacentral:piRNA from 1 species
UCAGGUCCAGUGUCCAUUAAUUCUGCA